AUAAUCUAGCAUAGAUGUGUAUUUUUCUUCAGGUGACACACGGAUAAAGGUCCAAGAUGGAAAGGCUACCUUUCAAAACCUGGUGGUCUCUGGUUCCUGCUCAGGUUGUUACUUCUUUUUCAAAGUGACUUCUCCUCCAGGUGCUAUAUUAUCUGUAAGAUCCAAUUCUUUUACUAUAUACCCCAUUACCGUGACAGAAAAAUCAGCCAUAAUCUUCACUGCUGCAUUGGGAUCUGCAGCCACUCUGCUUGUUUUGGGAUCUGUUGUUAUCUGUUGGUCCAAGAAAACAAGAAGGAACA